rnacentral:lncRNA from 1 species
CGGAGACCCUCAACCUUGUUCCAUCUCCCCUUCCUUCCUGCCCCAAACCCAAGCAGCUGCAACAUUCCACUCCACGCCCAGCAGGCACGGGGUCCGGCUAGGAUUCUGUUUCUUGGGAGAGACGGGCCACGGGACUGCGUCCUGGUUUUCAGGGGCCUGGGGCGCCUGACUCUACCACCCGCGCUGUGGAGGCCGAGGCAAGGCUCGCCUGCAGAUAUGGGCUUGUGUUUGUUCUGUUCCUGGAAGACAUGCGCUGCCACCGAGUCACUGGGCUUUUGACUCAGCUGUGUUUCCUCCUGCAGAUGAACCCAAACCCAGGCUUUGGAGUCAGCAGAGCCAGCUGGGGCAUCAGCCUCCCACUGGCGUCUGUGUGACUUUGGGCAAUUCUCUUGACCUCUCUGAGCUUCGGUUUUCGGUCUCUCUGAAAUGGGAGGAACCAACUAGACCAGCGUCUCAAUCCCUGGACUCAAGCCUUGGACAUCUCAAGUGGAUGGAGUCUCUACCUGGCCGGUGCCAUGACACCUGCACACGUGGCAACAAAGAAAAGGGAAGAGAAAGACUCCAUGUUGACUCUACCUGGCUCCCAGACGGAGUUCCGCUCUUUUUGCCCAGGCUGGAAUACAAUGGCACGAUCUCCACUCACUACAAGCUCUUCCUCCCGGGUUCAAGCAAUUCUCCAGCCUCAGCCUCCUGAGUAGCUGGGAUUACAAGUGCCCGCCACCACGUCCAGCUAAUUUUUGUAUUUUUAGUCAAGAUGGGGUUUCACCAUGUUGGCCAGGCUGGUCUCGAACUCCUGACCUCAGGUGAUCCUCCCGCCUCAGCCUCCCAAAGUGCUGGGAUUACAGGCAUGAGCCACUGCACCUGGCCAAUGGAUCCAUUUCAAAAAUCUCUUAAUAAAUUUUACAAAAACUCAC